CAGAGGUCCCGAGCGUUGUUCGGAUUCACUGGGCGUAAAGGGUGCGUAGGUGGUGAGGUAAGUCGGAUGUGAAAUCUCCGGGCUCAACCCGGAAAUGGCAUUGGAAACUACCUUGCUGGAGGAUUUGAGGGGGGAUUGGAAUACUUGGUGUAGCAGUGAAAUGCGUAGAUAUCAAGUGGAACACCAGUGGCGAAGGCGAAUCCCUGGAAAAUACCUGACACUGAGGCACGAAAGCUAGGGGAGCAAACAGGAUUAGAUACCCUGGUAGUCCUAGCCCUAAACGGUGCUUGCUUGCUGUAAGAGGAAUCGACCCCUCUUGUGGCGAAGCUAACGCGUUAAGCAAGCCGCCUGGGAAGUACGGUCGCAAGAUUAA
rnacentral:rRNA from 1 species